CNUACUGCGUGGAGGAUGAAGGCUCGUGGGCUGUAAACUCCUUUUCCUAGAGAAGAAGUCUGACGGUAUCUAGGGAAUAAGCAUCAGCUAACUGCGUGCCAGCAGCUGCGGUAAUACGUGGGAUGCUAGCGUUAUCCGGAUUUAUUGGGCGUAAAGCGUCUGUAGGUGGCUUCGCAAGUUUGUUGUUAAAUCAUUCAGCUUAACUGAAUUCCAGCAGCAAAAACUAUGAAGCUUGAGUGCGGUAGAGGAAAAGGGAAUUCCCUGUGGAGCGGUGAAAUGCGUAGAGAUAGGGAAGAACACCAAUGGCGAAAGCACUUUUCUGGGCCUGCACUGACAUUGAGAGACGAAAGCUACGGGAGCGAGUAGGAUUAGAUACCCUAUUAGUCCUAGCCGUAAACGAUGGAAACUACAUUUUGGAGCUCUAGGAGCUCAGCUUCGUAUUCUUCAGAAUGGUAGCUAACGCGUUAAGUUUCCCGCCUGGGAAAGUAUGCUCGCAAGAAGUGAAACUCAAAGGAAUUGACGGGAGCCCGCACAAGCGGUGGAGCCUGUGGGUUAAU
rnacentral:rRNA from 1 species